CUUUUUCUUUUCCUUUUAGAUGAUUGAUGGCAAUAAAAGAAGUGGUCGGUAUUAAUAUAUCUUGAUUCAAAUGGUUCAUCACUUACUCUCAGAUCUUAGAUUUGAUUUUUGUAAGUAAAAAAAAAAAUUAUGCUUAAAAAAUAUUAAUGCUUAAUGAGCCGGUCAGGUUCAAAUUGAAUUUUGGCACUCGCCCAUUGAAUUUUUGGGACAUGAAGACGCACAUCGAAAUGAAGAAGCCGCUAGUUUGGUGGAAAAAAGCCGAACGAUAGGAUUACUAACCCAGUGGCGAAUAUUAUCGGCCUUCAGCCCAAUGGGGAAAGCCCAGUAGGCAUUCAUCUCAAACCCCGCAGUCGGAAACCUCGUCCCUAUCGUCGAGUUCGCCGUCCGCCUUACCAGCCGAGACCCCCGACUGUCUGCCGCCAUACUCAUCAUCACCCUGCCCCAGCGUCCCAUAGUCUCUGCCUAUGUGCAAUCAUGCGCCGCCACAGCUAUCCCCGGCGUCCGCUUCGUCCACCUCCCCGCAGUGGACCCGCCGACGCCGGACCAGUUCCUGUCAUCCAUCGGCUACAUCUCCGUCUACAUACAGAGACGGAGAUGGGCACACGUGGCUCAUCCACCAUGCUCGCAGAUACAGAGAACUGGAGGGUAUUGUCAUAAAUACGUUCCAAGAACUUGAACCCUUUGCGCUCAGCUCAUUGUCGAGGAGUCUAUCUCCGCCGGUAUAUGCAAUCGGGCCAGUUCUCGACCUCAAUGGACCAAUCCAGUGGCACCCGAACCGGGCCCAACAAGUGGCGAUAAUGCAGUGGCUUGACCAGCAGCCGCGGUCGAGGGUUGUGUUCCUGUGCUUCGGGAGCAUGGGGAGCCUCAGUGUGCCGCAGGUGAGAGAGAUUGCAGCCGGACUGGAACAGUCGGGGCAGCGGUUCUUAUGGUCCUUGCGAGAACCACCAAAAGGCAAAAUCCACCUUCCAACUGAUUACUCGAACUUCAAUGAUGUAUUAUCUAAGGACUUCCUGGAGCGGACAGCUGAGAUUGGUCUAGUGUGUGGAUGGGUCCCGCAGGUGACAGUAUUGGCACAUCCGGCAAUAGGAGGGUUCGUCUCCCAUUGCGGCUGGAACUCGAUUCUCGAGAACCUGUGGCACGGGGUCCCAAUCGCCACGUGGCCAGUCUAUGCGGAGCAGCAAAUGAAUGCGUUUGAGAUGGUGAGGGAACUAGGAUUAGCAGUAGAGAUCAGGUUGGAUUACAGGGAGGGCAGCGAUCUGGUGCGAGCCGAGGAGGUAGAGAGAGGGGUUCGGGCUCUGAUGGAAGGUGAUGGUGAUGUGAGAAGAAAGGUCAAGGAGAUGAGCAAAAUGAGCCAGACUACUGUGAUGGAGGGUGGAUCAUCCGAUGGAUCAUUAGAUUCUCUCGAUAUCCCUUACCACUGUCAUCAUGGGUUGGAGAUGACUGCUGUUCGUGGAAGGGAGUCAGAUGCAGCGAAUGCGUGGGCCACCUCCUGAAGCUCGACCUUCGAAGUCCAUGAUCUGCAUCCUGAUUCCAGCAUCCUUAUGCUACAUAAAAGAAUUGUCCUUUCUAGGGCUACACGGCAAUGCCUUCGGUGGGAGUGUCCCCAAAUGCUGCAGUGCUUCCGGAAG